rnacentral:rRNA from 1 species
CAGACGGUUUAUUAAGCAAGAUGNGAAAUCCCCGAGCUUAACUUGGGAACUGCGUUUUGAACUGNUAAGCUAGAGUAUGUCAGAGGGGGGUAGAAUUCCACGUGUAGCAGUGAAAUGCGUAGAGAUGUGGAGGAAUACCGAUGGCGAAGGCAGCCCCCUGGGAUAAUACUGACGUUCAUGCUCGAAAGCGUGGGUAGCAAACAGGAUUAGAUACCCUGGUAGUCCACGCCCUAAACGAUGUCAAUUAGCUGUUGGGGCACUUGAUGCCUUAGUAGCGAAGCUAACGCGUGAAAUUGACCGCCUGGGGAGUACGGUCGCAAGAUUAAAACUCAAAGGAAUUGACGGGGACCCGCACAAGCGGUGGUUGAUGUGGAUUAAUUCGAUGCAACGCGAAGAACCUUACCUGGUCUUGACAUGUACGGAAUCUUCCAGAGACGGAAGAGUGCCUUCGGGAGCCGUAACACAGGUGCUGCAUGGCUGUCGUCAGCUCGUGUCGUGAGAUGUUGGGUUAAGUCCCGCAACGAGCGCAACCCUUGUCAUUAGUUGCCACCAUUCAGUUGGGCACUCUAAUGAGACUGCCGGUGACAAACCGGAGGAAGGUGGGGAUGACGUCAAGUCCUCAUGGCCCUUAUGACCAGGGCUUCACACGUCAUACAAUGGUCGGUACAGAGGGUAGCCAAGCCGCAAGGUGGAGCCAAUCUCAGAAAACCGAUCGUAGUCCGGAUUGCACUCUGCAACUCGAGUGCAUGAA